rnacentral:lncRNA from 1 species
UGAAAAUUGAAAGCUUAAAACGUUUCAAAUAUUUGUUUAUGAGAUAAUUUUCUAGAAUAUUCUGGGAGAUUGUGAUUGUCCUCCAGCAAUUCUGAAUGACAAAUCACACAUUUCAAACCAUCUUGGGACUGUACUGUUUCUUCCUAAGCUACUGUCAGGAGAAACCAUACAGAAUUUCUGUUUUGUGCUAAUCCUUAUAGUGGCUUCACUACCAGCUUUCAAAGGUAGAAAGGUUUGAAAAGCACAAAUGACAUUAGCAGCAAGGAAGAUGGAAAGGAGGUUUGACCAUCGGCAUAAAGGACUGUCAGUAAAAGGGAAAAAAAAAAUUGGAAUGCUUAGCACAUUAAAUCUGAAAACCACCCUUUUAAUAUUGCAACUGAACCCCUGUUAUAUAGUUCAGGAUUCUUACUUUGAAGACUGAUUGGCAAUACUCU